rnacentral:rRNA from 1 species
GACGAACGCUGGCGGCGUGCUUAACACAUGCAAGUCGAACGGUAAGGCCCUUCGGGGUACACGAGUGGCGAACGGGUGAGUAACACGUGGGUGAUCUGCCCUGCACUUCGGGAUAAGCCUGGGAAACUGGGUCUAAUACCGGAUAGGACCACUGCCUGCAUGGGUGGUGGUGGAAAGCUUUUGCGGUGUGGGAUGGGCCCGCGGCCUAUCAGCUUGUUGGUGGGGGGAUGGCCUACCAAGGCGACGACGGGUAGCCGGCCUGAGAGGGUGACCGGCCACACUGGGACGGAGAGACGGCCCAGACUCCUACGGGAGGCAGCAGUGGGGAAUAUUGCACAAUGGGCGCAAGCCUGAUGCAGCGACGCCGCGUGAGGGAUGACGGCCUUCAGGUUGUAAACCUCUUUCAGCACCGACGAAGCGCAAGUGACGGUAGGUGCAGAAGAAGGACCGGCCAACUACGUGCCAGCAGCCGCGGUAA